CAUUCAGCGUUUGGGUCAAGAUGAAGGCGGGUUCUGGACAGACGUACCCAGUCAGGGAAUGUUUACUUUGCCUCCACUUCUGUUCCUCCCCGCCCUGGUGCUGCUCCGGGUCACAUACUCGUCCUGAGCCGGCUUCAGCCUCUCCGCGCAGAAGUCUCCCGGAGCCGACUUCUGAGAGUCGAGUACUCCUAUGUGAAGACUACCAAGCUCGUGUUCAAGGGAACCAAGGCGAAGAGUAAGAAGAAAAAGAACAAAGAUAAGAAAAGAAAAAGAGAAGAAGAUGAAGAAACCCAGCUUGAUAUGUUGGAAUCUGGUGGACAGUAACAAACUUUGGUGAAAUUUCAGGAACCAUAGCCAUUGAAAUGGAUGAGGGAACCUAUAUACAUGCACUCGAUAAUGGUCUUUUUACCCUGGGAGCUCCACACAAAGAAGUUGAUGAGGGCCCUAGUCCUCCAGAGCAGUUUUCGGCUGUCAAAUUAUCUGAUUCCAGAAUCACCCUGAAAUCUGGCUAUGGAAAAUAUCUUGGUAUAAAUUCAGAUGAACUUGUUGUUGGGCGUUCAGAUGCAAUUGGACCAAGAGAACAAUGGGAACCAGUCUUUAAAAUUGGGAAAAUGGCUUUGUCGACCUCAAAUAGCUGCUUUAUUAGAUACAGUGAAGCAGAGGACAUAGAAGCAAAAAGUAAAACAGCAGGAGAAGAAGAAAUGAUCAAGAUUAGAUCCUGUGCUGAAAGAGAAACCAAGAAAAAAGAUGACAUUCCAGAAGAAGACAAAGGAAAUAUAAAACAAUGUGAAAUCAAUUACGUAAAGAAAUUUCAGAGCUUCCAAGACCACAAACUUAAAAUAAGUAAAGAAGAGAGUAAAAUUCUUAAAAAGGCUCAGAAAGAUGGAUUUUUGCAUGAAACGCUUCUGGACAGAGAACCAAAUUGAAAGCCGACAGAUACUGCAGAUGACUGGGAUUUUUGUUUCUGUCUUACCUUUUUGUGUUUUUUUUCUGAAUAAAAUAUUCAGAGGAAAUGCUUUUACAGA
rnacentral:lncRNA from 1 species